rnacentral:rRNA from 1 species
GAAGUUAGCGGCGGACGGGUGAGUAACACGUGGGUAACCUACCUAUAAGACUGGGAUAACUUCGGGAAACCGGAGCUAAUACCGGAUAACAUUUAGAACCGCAUGGUUCUAAAGUGAAAGAUGGUUUUGCUAUCACUUAUAGAUGGACCCGCGCCGUAUUAGCUAGUUGGUAAGGUAACGGCUUACCAAGGCGACGAUACGUAGCCGACCUGAGAGGGUGAUCGGCCACACUGGAACUGAGACACGGUCCAGACUCCUACGGGAGGCAGCAGUAGGGAAUCUUCCGCAAUGGGCGAAAGCCUGACGGAGCAACGCCGCGUGAGUGAUGAAGGGUUUCGGCUCGUAAAACUCUGUUAUUAGGGAAGAACAAAUGUGUAAGUAACUGUGCACAUCUUGACGGUACCUAAUCAGAAAGCCACGGCUAACUACGUGCCAGCAGCCGCGGUAAUACGUAGGUGGCAAGCGUUAUCCGGAAUUAUUGGGCGUAAAGCGCGCGUAGGCGGUUUCUUAAGUCUGAUGUGAAAGCCCACGGCUCAACCGUGGAGGGUCAUUGGAAACUGGGAAACUUGAGUGCAGAAGAGGAAAGUGGAAUUCCAUGUGUAGCGGUGAAAUGCGCAGAGAUAUGGAGGAACACCAGUGGCGAAGGCGACUUUCUGGUCUGUAACUGACGCUGAUGUGCGAAAGCGUGGGGAUCAAACAGGAUUAGAUACCCUGGUAGUCCACGCCGUAAACGAUGAGUG